GAUGAACGCUGGCGGCGUGCCUAAUACAUGCAAGUCGAGCGAACGGACGAGAAGCUUGCUUCUCUGAUGUUAGCGGCGGACGGGUGAGUAACACGUGGAUAACCUACCUAUAAGACUGGGAUAACUUCGGGAAACCGUAGCUAAUACCGGAUAAUAUUUUGAACCGCAUGGUUCAAAAGUGAAAGACGGUCUUGCUGUCACUUAUAGAUGGAUCCGCGCUGCAUUAGCUAGUUGGUAAGGUAACGGCUUACCAAGGCAACGAUGCAUAGCCGACCUGAGAGGGUGAUCGGCCACACUGGAACUGAGACACGGUCCAGACUCCUACGGGAGGCAGCAGUAGGGAAUCUUCCGCAAUGGGCGGAAGCCUGACGGAGCAACGCCGCGUGAGUGAUGAAGGUCUUCGGAUCGGAAAACUCUGUUAUUAGGGAAAAACAUAUGUGUAAGUAACUGUGCACAUCUUGACGGUACCUAAUCAGAAAGCCACGGCUAACUACGUG
rnacentral:rRNA from 1 species